GGAAUAUUGGACAAUGGGCGCAAGCCUGAUCCAGCCAUGCCGCGUGCAGGAUGACGGUCCUAUGGAUUGUAAACUGCUUUUGUACAGGAAGAAACACUGGUUCGUGAACCAGCUUGACGGUACUGUAAGAAUAAGGAUCGGCUAACUCCGUGCCAGCAGCCGCGGUAAUACGGAGGAUCCAAGCGUUAUCCGGAAUCAUUGGGUUUAAAGGGUCCGUAGGCGGUCUUGUAAGUCAGUGGUGAAAGCCCAUCGCUCAACGGUGGAACGGCCAUUGAUACUGCAGGACUUGAAUUAUUAGGAAGUAACUAGAAUAUGUAGUGUAGCGGUGAAAUGCUUAGAGAUUACAUGGAAUACCAAUUGCGAAGGCAGGUUACUACUAAUUGAUUGACGCUGAUGGACGAAAGCGUGGGUAGCGAACAGGAUUAGAUACCCUUG
rnacentral:rRNA from 1 species